CCCUAACAGAGCAGCACUGUAACUUCGAAACAUUAAGCAGGAGGACGUUAAGUGAGGAGUUACUGUAUUUCAUUUUUCAUCAGAAUCUCCCUCUUCCCAUUCUCUUGGUCAGUUUUUGCAACUCCUCCUAAACGAAACAUAAACCUGUAGGCCUGAGUCAGACUUUCAAACUCAUGAAUCCAAGCAGACUCAAAAUUAGGUCCAUCUGUAGGCAUGGAUGACAUGGUGCAACAGCUAUUUAAAACAAACCUGGGACUAGCUUUCUGUAUUUAAAUGAACUGUUGAUUAAAUCUGAGUUCCCAAAUCUCUUCCAAAUUAUGACAUACACAACAGGGACUGUACUUUAUAUCAAAACAUCAACGUUCAGAACAAGAGGUGAUGACUCAGUCUGGAAUAAGACAUUGCUGCCCAGAUCUUUCACUGUUCCCUGAAGCCUUUUCAUCUAACAGCUAGAAUAAGAGCAAAUAGCUUUCUUCACUGUAACAGAUUCUAAAUUAAUUGCUCAACGCCACUAAACACAACUUGAGAAACAUGCUACUAAGUUCUUUCCUCACAUCCAAUCUCACAAAUUUAAACCUAUUUUUUUUUAAAGCUUGUGGUUUCAGCUCACUAGACACUAAGUAUUGGACCCACACUUCUAACCAAUAAAACUCAGCAAUCUGUGAAACUCCUGAUAGCUGAAUCAGAUACCUUAAGGUGACAUCUGUGCAGGAAGGUGGUGAAAUUCCAGCUAC